rnacentral:ncRNA from 1 species
UUCCUUUUUUAAGGAAUUAAAAGGGAAAGUGGUGUAAAGUCCACUACAGCCCCCGCUACUGUAAAUGGGUACGAAACCAACAAGGUGCCACUGGGAAACUGGGAAGGCGUUGGAAGUAGGUUGAACCAUAAGUCAGGAUACCUACCUAUAUAAA